rnacentral:tRNA from 1 species
GGUAAGAUGGCCGAGUGUCUAGGCGGUGGGCUGUAGUCCCAUGUACAGAGGUUCAACUCCUUUUCUUAUCA